GCCUGGAUAGCUCAGCUGGUUAGAGUGUGGUGUUGAGAAUGCCAAGGUUGCAGGUUUGAAUCCCCAUAUAGGACG